rnacentral:rRNA from 1 species
AUGGAGGAUUGUUCAUGCGGAUGCCUGGCAAAGAUGGCGCGCAUAGCUGACGGCUGUGUGUACAAAUCUGGUUUGGAGCUCACCCAGACUCAGCGCCGUGGGCAACUUUCUUGUCUGCUGUACAUCAACCAUGGGUUUCGUGCGCCAUAUGUUUGUCGCCUGACGGUUGGUGACUUGAAGGAAUCAUGGAAAAUGUCACGCAGGAUCAGGAUUGUUGCUCCUAGUUUCGGUGUUCUGAAGAUGGAGACUUCAGACAAAAAAUGGGUAUCACUUGAUGGAAGUUGCCUACUACAUCGACUUUGA